rnacentral:lncRNA from 1 species
AUUCACUACUGCUUAAUACAAUCAUGCCUUGCUGUGGGUUUUAACUUUGUUUUGGGUGGGGGAAAGACUUCAGGUAUAGAAUGUAUGAAUUUCCAAUUUACCUUUUAAUGAAAUAGCAGGAUUCUUGGGCCAAACAAGUAAAUUAUUCACCUGAAGGAUAUAGAAUGAUUCACUCCUUUCUUGCUCCCUCCUCCCUCCAUCUUUCCACAAACACUGAUGAAUGAUUAUGCUGGACAAAGAGCUUCUAGAGAAGGGACAAUUGUGUUCCUCCACAAACCAGGUCACUGGAAAGGAACCAAGGGAUGUUUGGUCCCCUUCUUAUCCACAACCCUCAUUAAAGUCAUUAAAGUGUUUCAUUUGAAUUCCA